ACAAAAUCACUUGAAUAGGUUUCAACCAAGGUAACACGACUUGAAACGCGCUAAAAAUAAUUUGUUGAAAUAUUAACCCCUCCUUUGAACAAAGGUGUCAACGGCGCUUGGUGCGCAUUGCAGGGCAAACACUUGCAGCACGUAUUGUCCCCGACCAAAGAAAUCUUUCUAUGCCAUUGAGUACAUUGCACUGAAAUAGAUUUCCAAUCCGCCUGCACAUAAACUGAUGUGUAUUGCGCAUGUAUGGUUACUGUGAAGAACACCCGUAUGUGGGCUUGCUGUUGUUUCGUGGAAGUCAUUCCUUUUCCUGGAAUUACGACUUUGGAGCUGAAGCUUGUCAUGUGAUAUAUGGUAUUGAUUCAGGAUUUGUUGUGACUACGCUGUGAGUGCUAGCUGCGGAGAAGCACCUACCCCAUGUACCCGGCACCGAAGCGAAUUACAUUGAUGCACCUUUUAUGCGGUAGACAGAUACAAGGACGUUUUUGAUGUAGUUCAGUGGUGAGCCAUCCCAGAAGGCUAGCCAUGAGUCAAGACUCCGAGUCUGAUGAUGAAGGGUAUAUGUGCAUGGAACUGCCCACCCUCAUCAAGCAGCUCAAGUCUGUGCUGGACCAGUACCCUGAUGACGGGCAGAUACUC